UACGAAGGGUGCAAGCGUUACUCGGAAUUACUGGGCGUAAAGCGUGCGUAGGUGGUUUGUUAAGUCUGUUGUGAAAGCCCCGGGCUCAACCUGGGAAUGGCAAUGGAUACUGGCAAGCUAGGGUGCGGUAGAGGGUAGUGGAAUUCCCGGUGUAGCGGUGAAAUGCGUAGAGAUCGGGAGGAACACCAGUGGCGAAGGCGGCUACCUGGACCAGCACUGACACUGAGGCACGAAAGCGUGGGGAGCAAACAGGAUU
rnacentral:rRNA from 1 species